rnacentral:lncRNA from 1 species
AUCCAUGGUUUGAUUAAAUCCAUUAAUAUUUACAGUGAUAUUAUCCCAAAUCUUCAAAUCAAUUAGAGUCAGACUUGACCCUCAUCAUUUGCAAGAUGCUUAUUUAUAAAAUUAUAUUAAUUGUUCCAGAAAAAGCAACAUUGCUGCCAUUUUUUUAAAUAAAAAGCAACAUUUUUGCCAUUUUUACCGGAUUUUUGUGACAAAAAUGUCGGUUAUUGAUUUGGGAAUGUACGGCGGGCGGUUGGUCGGUCGGGCGGGCGGCAAUCAAAUGUUGUCCGUGCAUUAACUCAUGAACCGUUAACCAAA